AGCUGCUGCUCUGCCUCUCACUUUCCUCGCCCUCCGCCUCUCCCUGCUCACAACAAGUCUCCUUUCAUUUCCCUGCUCUCUUUCUUGGCUGCCUCGCUUGUUGUUUCCUUCGAGUUCUUCAAUGCUGGAUCUCGUAAAAUCCGUCUGCAUGAUACGAGAGGGGAUUUUCUUUUGAGUACUGUUUCGUAAUCUCGGAAAAAUUUGGC
rnacentral:misc_RNA from 1 species